rnacentral:lncRNA from 1 species
CAAAUGGUGUAAAUAUAUGAAUAAAUAGUGUAAAAUAUGCACCGUUUGUACAUAUAUUGUAUAAUUUUUAUAGUAUGUUGUAAUAUAUUAUAUUAUUUUCGUGUAAUAUACUAAACUGUGCGUAAUUUAGUGUAAAAAUCAUGCAAAAUGUGUAUUAAUAAUGCAUAUGUUGCACUACUUAUACAGAUAUUGCACUAUUUUGAAGAGAUUGUUGCACUAUUUGAGAGGAUAUUGCACUCUUUCAUCUUAUUAAUUAAUCUUUAUUUUUUUUUAUUUUCUCUUGAAUGAGGUUUCUUGUUUUACAAGAAAGGUGCAUAUAAUUAUGGCUUAGCAGUUGUCAUUUCCAAGAAGUUUUAUACAUAAUGGCUUAGCAGUUGUAUUUUUCUAGACAUUUAAAGUAUAUAAUUUUUAUGAAUUUUGAAAGAGGGAUAGUUUGGUCAUCUUUCUGAAAAUUCGGCCCGAAUCUGUAAAAACUAAAAAGGUGGCCCACUUUUGCAAAAGCGCAAAAUUAGUGGAUUUUUUAUGUAAAUUGGCCAAAAAUUUAAUAUAACAUUUAAAUAAUUUAUUAUAUAAUAUAAAUUUAUGUUUGAUGUAUAUUUUAGAGACGGUUUAU